rnacentral:rRNA from 1 species
CAGCAACGCCGCGUGGAGGAUGACACUUUUCGGAGCGUAAACUCCUUUUGUUAGGGAAGAAUAAUGACGGUACCUAACGAAUAAGCACCGGCUAACUCCGUGCCAGCAGCCGCGGUAAUACGGAGGGUGCAAGCGUUACUCGGAAUCACUGGGCGUAAAGGACGCGUAGGCGGAUUAUCAAGUCUCUUGUGAAAUCUAACGGCUUAACCGUUAAACUGCUUGGGAAACUGAUAAUCUAGAGUAAGGGAGAGGCAGAUGGAAUUCUUGGUGUAGGGGUAAAAUCCGUAGAUAUCAAGAAGAAUACCUAUUGCGAAGGCGAUCUGCUGGAACUUAACUGACGCUAAUGCGUGAAAGCGUGGGGAGCAAACAGGAUUAGAUACCCUGGUAGUCCACGCCCUAAACGAUGUAUACUAGUUGUUGCUUCGCUAGUCGAGGCAGUAAUGCACCUAACGGAUUAAGUAUACCGCCUGGGGAGUACGGUCGCAAGAUUAAAACUCAAAGGAAUAGACGGGGACCCGCACAAGCGGUGGAGCAUGUGGUUUAAUUCGAAGAUACGCGAAGAACCUUACCCGGACUUGAUAUCUAACAAAUCAUCCAGAGAUGGAAGAGUGUCUGCUUGCAGAAAUGUUAAGACAGGUGCUGCACGGCUGUCGUCAGCUCGUGUCGUGAGAUGUUGGGUUAAGUCCCGCAACGAGCGCAACCCACGUCAUUAGUUGCUAACGGUUCGGCCGAGCACUCUAAUGAGACUGCCUUCGUAAGGAGGAGGAAGGUGUGGACGACGUCAAGUCAUCAUGGCCCUUAUGUCCGGGGCGACACACGUGCUACAAUGGCAUAUACAAUAAGACGCAAUAUCGCGAGAUGGAGCAAAUCUAAAAAAUAUGUCCCAGUUCGGAUUGGAGUCUGCAACUCGACUCCAUGAAGCCGGAAUCGCUAGUAAUCGUAGAUCAGCCAUGCUACGGUGAAUACGUUCCCGGGUCUUGUACUCACCGCCCGUCACACCAUGGGAGUUGAUUUCACUCGAAGCCCAAAUACCAAACCGGUUAUCGUCCACAGUGGAAUCAGCGACUGGGGUGAAGUCGUAACAAGGUAACCGUAGGAGAACCUGCG